rnacentral:rRNA from 1 species
UACAGAGGGUGCAAGCGUUGCUCGGAAUUAUUGGGCGUAAAGGGUGGGUAGGUGGUCUCGUUUGUCUUGGGUGAAAUCCCUGAGCUUAACUCAGGAAGUGCCUUGGAAACGGCGAGACUGGAGUACUAGAGAGGUUCGUAGAAUUCCCGGUGUAGCGGUGAAAUGCGUAGAGAUCGGGAGGAAUACCAGAUGCGAAGGCGGCGAACUGGAUAGUUACUGACACUAAACCACGAAAGCGUGGGGAUCAAACAGG